rnacentral:rRNA from 1 species
GACGAACGCUGGCGGCGUGCUUAACACAUGCAAGUCGUACGGUAAGGCCCUUUCGGGGGUACACGAGUGGCGAACGGGUGAGUAACACGUGAGUAACCUGCCCACAACUUUGGGAUAACGCUGGGAAACUGGUGCUAAUACUGGAUAUGUGCUCCUGCUGCAUGGUGGGGGUUGGAAAGCUCCGGCGGUUGUGGAUGGACUCGCGGCCUAUCAGCUUGUUGGUGGGGUAGUGGCCUACCAAGGCGGCGACGGGUAGCCGGCCUGAGAGGGUGACCGGCCACAUUGGGACUGAGAUACGGCCCAGACUCCUACGGGAGGCAGCAGUGGGGAAUAUUGCACAAUGGGCGCAAGCCUGAUGCAGCAACGCCGCGUGCGGGAUGACGGCCUUCGGGUUGUAAACCGCUUUCAGCAGGGACGAAGCUUUUUGUGACGGUACCUGCAGAAGAAGCACCGGCUAACUACGUG